CCCGAAACCAGAAGAGGGCGUAUGGCUAGAGUUUCACCCUAAGAAGAAAGGGGAAGCAGGUGGAAAAGCAAUUAAAAAAAAAUCAGCAUCUCUCUCUAGCCUAUUAUCUCCUGUUAGACACAGCCCAGAAAAUGAAUAGAGACAAGUCCUGGCUGGGUCUGGGUUCAGAAACAUAAUAGAAGGAUUCAUCUAAUCUGUCGGCCACUGUGGAGGAAGUGAACCUUCUAGAUCCUGCUGACUCAUACAAUGAGUUUUGUGUGGACCAUCAGACAAAAGGGCUGGCUGGUGAAGGUGGCUGUUGUCUGGAAAUUCCUCCCAGCUCUCCUCUAAUUAUGUCAUAAGGACUGGAGGCCCCUUAGCCUGCUUGUGGAUAACACGCAAGGAAAUAUGGGCCAACUCUUCACAUGAACACAAGAUAUUUCCAUGCUAGCCUUUUGCAAGUAACAACAGAGAGAGCUCUGUGCAGUUUUCACUGGAAUGCCUGUGGAUUGCUUGUGUCAUAACUGUAAUCUAAAGAGUUGUCCAUUUGUUGAUUCCUUUGUAUUUGUAUUGGUAGAAUUGCCACUAUCAAACCAAGAUCUUUAGCUGCCUUUGUAUCAACUUCUUUGGAGCUUAUGUGAUUUUCCAGAAAAUUUCCAAGGCAUAGUUUUGUCCCUAAGUCCCAUGAAUAUGUAAU
rnacentral:lncRNA from 1 species